rnacentral:rRNA from 1 species
GAUGAACGCUGGCGGCGUGCCUAAUACAUGCAAGUCGAGCGAAUGGAUUAAGAGCUUGCUCUUAUGAAGUUAGCGGCGGACGGGUGAGUAACACGUGGGUAACCUGCCCAUAAGACUGGGAUAACUCCGGGAAACCGGGGCUAAUACCGGAUAACAUUUUGAACCGCAUGGUUCGAAAUUGAAAGGCGGCUUCGGCUGUCACUUAUGGAUGGACCCGCGUCGCAUUAGCUAGUUGGUGAGGUAACGGCUCACCAAGGCAACGAUGCGUAGCCGACCUGCGAGGGUGAGCGGCCACACUGGGACUGAGACACGGCCCCGACUCCUACGGGAGGCAGCAGUAGGGAAUCUUCCGCAAUGGACGAAAGUCUGACUGAGCAACGCCGCGUGAGUGAUGAAGGCUUUCGGGUCGUAAAACUCUGUUGUUAGGGAAGAACAAGUGCUAGUUGAAUAAGCUGGCACCUUGACGGUACCUAAUCAGAAAGCCACGGCUAACUACGUGCCAGCAGCCGCGGUAA